UUUUCUCAAUUGACAGGUUGAAACAGCUGCGUCUGAAAGGGAGCAGUUAUUGCUUAUGAAAAUUUCAGAGCUUGAAGCCAGGAUGAUUAAUCUUACUAAUGAGGUAGCUGAGGCAAGGUC